ensembl:processed_transcript
UUCUCUAUUGCAGUGAAGUAAAAGAAUUUAACAGACAGAUUGACAAACAACUGACGAAAGAAGAGAGACCAUUCUAUAGUCCCUUUAUUUAUCAGGGGUUGCCACAGCAGAAUGAACCGCCAACUUAUGCAGCAUAUGUUUUACACAGUGGAUACCCUUCCAGCCGCAACCCAGUACUGGGAAACACCCAUUUACAAUUAUAUACUUGAACAUGGGGAGAACAUGCAAACUCCACACAGAAAUGACCACUGGCCCAGCCGGGGCUUGAACCAGCAACCUUCUUGCUGUGAGGCGACGGUUUCAACCACUGUGCUGCCCCAUGUGCUCUAUGCGGGUGAGUGGGAUUGACAAACCACCUGGAGGACACAUUCUUGCUGUCUUAAUGCACCAGACAUUUUGUUAUAAAUAAUCAUGUGCGUUUCAUGUUUAUUUAUAAAACUGCUAAUUUAUCUCAUAGCACUUCAUUUUUGUCUUGAUAUUUAAUAUCUUUUGUUUAAAUACACUAUGAACAGCAGCUGCGCUAAUUAUUUUCCUUG